rnacentral:rRNA from 1 species
GUUAAGUGACGAAGCGUAUACGGUGGAUGCCUUGGCAGUUAGAGGCGAUGAAGGACGUGUAAGUCUGCGAAAAGCUGUGGUGAGCCGACAAAAUGCAUUUGAGCCACAGAUGUCCGAAUGGGGAAACCCACCUGUUUACAGGUAUCGUUACAUGAAUACAUAGUGUAACGAGGCGAACGAGGGGAACUGAAACAUCUAAGUACCCUUAGGAAAAGAAAUCAACCGAGAUUCCCCUAGUAGCGGCGAGCGAACGGGGAGCAGCCCUUAAGCUGUAUAGAGUGUAGUGGAAUCCUUUGGGAAGAGGAGCGAUACAGGGUGAUAGCCCCGUACACGACGCAAUCUUUACAGUGAAAUCGAGUAGGUCGGGACACGUGUUAUCUUGACUGAAUAUGGGGGGACCAUCCUCCAAGGCUAAAUACUCCUAACUGACCGAUAGUGAACCAGUACCGUGAGGGAAAGGCGAAAAGAACCCCUGUGAGGGGAGUGAAAUAGAACCUGAAACCGUAUACGUACAAGCAGUGGGAGCACCUUCGUGGUGUGACUGCGUACCUUUUGUAUAAUGGGUCAACGACUUAGUGUUGUAUGCAAGCUUAAACCGUUAGGUGUAGGCGCAGCGAAAGCGAGUCUUAAUAGGGCGCAUGAGUUAGGUGGAUCAGACCCGAAACCGAGUGAUCUAGGCAUGGCCAGGUUGAAGGUGCAGUAACAUGCACUGGAGGACCGAACCCACAUCUGUUGAAAAAGAUCGGGAUGAGCUGUGCCUAGGGGUGAAAGGCCAAUCAAACUCGGAGAUAGCUGGUUCUCUGCGAAAUCUAUUUAGGUAGAGCGUCGAUCGAAUACUCUUGGGGGUAGAGCACUGACUGGGCUAGGGGUCCUCACCGGAUUACCAAACCUUAUCAAACUCCGAAUACCAAGAAGUACUAAUCGGCAGACACACGGCGGGUGCUAACGUCCGUCGUGGAGAGGGAAACAACCCAGACCGCCAGCUAAGGUCCCAAAAUAUUGCUAAGUGGGAAACGAUGUGGGAAGGCAUAGACAGCUAGGAGGUUGGCUUAGAAGCAGCCAUCCUUUAAAGAAAGCGUAACAGCUCACUCAUCAAGCGAUCCUGCGCCGAAAAUGUAACGGGGCUAAAGCCAUUUACCGAAAUUGUGGGCUCGUAAGAGCGGUAGCGGAGCGUUCCGUAAGCCUGCGAAGGUGCACUGCGAGGUGUGCUGGAGGUAUCGGAAGUGAGAAUGUUGACAUGAGUAGCGAUAAAGCGGGUGAGAGACCCGCUCGCCGAAAAUCCAAGGGUUCCUGCGUAAAGCUAAUCUGCGCAGGGUUAGCCGGCCCCUAAGGCGAGGCCGAAAGGCGUAGCCGAUGGGAACCACGUUAAUAUUCGUGGGCCAGAUGGAAGUGACGGAUCUCGAAGAUUGUUCCUCCUUAUCGGAUUGGAGGGGCCGUUCAGAGGUUCCUGGAAAUAGCUCCAUCAUCAGACCGUACCCUAAACCGACACAGGUGGACU